AAUCGUAUCUCCAUGAACGAUCUAGUGGGGAGAGCCAGUUUUUUUUAAAAACAAACUGGUGUGGUGUGUACGUUCGUGUGUACGACACACCGCAGUGCAUUUAAACAGUGUAUAGAAGUAGAUGGUUUAUUCUAGUCGAGUUUCCCAACAGGAAAAGUGAGCGUGAGUCAACAAACUAGCGGUCGCACGCCGGUUUUUUUUCCCCCCCUCUCUAACAAAAAAAACCUUCUUGCUGUGUGUGUGAUUAUUGUUUAACAUUUCCUCAAUGUCCAUUUGGCGGGCUGAUUGGAGUGCCUUGCCAGUCACAAAUCAGGAAAAAAAGAAAAAAAAACGCACACUGACGGACAGUUCCCUUUGGUGAGCAUUAACAAAAGAAAACGGUGGCCAGCAGUGGCUAUAACACAGGUCAAUAAGCCAGCACGUCAUCUUCGAAAAUCACAAACCGUCUAGAAUUUCCAGAAGGCAGAAGGCAAAGACAACAAUAGAAAACAACCAGCCGAAAUAAGAGAAGACAAAACAAAACAAAACAAAACAAAAAAACAGUGGGAAAUAAAAAAUAAAAAAUGAAAUUCAAUAGGCUAAAGUUGACUAUUUCCUAAUACACCAAUGACGAUGGACUUGGAAA